GAUGAACGCUAGCUACAGGCUUAACACAUGCAAGUCGAGGGGCAGCAUGAACAUAGCUUGCUAUGUUUGAUGGCGACCGGCGCACGGGUGCGUAACACGUAUCCAAUCUGCCCGUUACUCGGGGAUAGCCUUCUGAAAGGAAGAUUAAUACCCGAUAGCAUUCAUAGCGGCAUCGCUUAUGAAUUAAAGAUUUAUUGGUAACGGAUGAGGAUGCGUACGAUUAGCUGGUUGGCGGGGUAACGGCCCACCAAGGCAACGAUCGCUAGGGGUUCUGAGAGGAAGGUCCCCCACACUGGAACUGAGACACGGUCCAGACUCCUACGGGAGGCAGCAGUGAGGAAUAUUGGUCAAUGGUCGGAAGACUGAACCAGCCAAGUAGCGUGAAGGAUGACUGCCCUACGGGUUGUAAACUUCUUUUGUUUGGGAAUAAAAGACGCUACGUGUAGCGUUCUGCAUGUACCUUACGAAUAAGCAUCGGCUAAUUCCGUGCCAGCAGCCGCCGUAAAAC
rnacentral:rRNA from 1 species